rnacentral:rRNA from 1 species
GGCGGACGGGUAAGUAAUGUCUGGGAAACUGCCCGAUGGAGGGGGGUAACUACUGGAAACGGUAGCUAAUACCGCAUAACGUCGCAAGACCAAGAGGGGAACCUUCGGGCCUCUUGCCAUCGGAUGUGCCCAGAUGGGAUUAGCUAGUAGGUGGGGUAACGGCUCACCUAGGCGACGAUCCCUAGCUGGUCUGAGAGGAUGACCAGCCACACUGGAACUGAGACACGGUCCAG